rnacentral:lncRNA from 1 species
AACAAAUGGAUGAGCUGUUACAGCAAUGCUUCUUACAUGCCUUGAAGUGCCGAGUCAAAAAGGCUGACCUCCCUUUACUCACCAGCACUUUCCUUGGCAGCCACAUGUUCUCCUGCUGCCCCGAAGGACGACAACUGGACAUAAAGAAGUCAAGCUACAAAAAGGAAGGGGAGCUUUCUGGAGGGCAGUGAGGUCCGAACGAUCGUCAUUAACUACGCCAAGAAAAAUGACCUGGUUGAUGCAGACAACAAAAAUCUUGUGAGAUUGGAUCCCAUCCUAUGUGACUGCAUCUUAGAGAAAAAUGAACAGCAUACAGUCAUGAAGCUUCCAUGGGACAGUCUUCUGACCAGGUGUUUGGAAAAAUUACAGCCUGCCUAUCAAGUGACCCUUCCCGGACAAGAGCCCAUUGUGAAGAAAGGGAGAAUCUGUCCAAUUGACAUCACCCUAGCACAAAGAGCGUCUAAUAAAAAGGUAAUUUUAGAAAGA